rnacentral:rRNA from 1 species
AACUAACGCUGGCGGCGUGCCUAACACAUGCAAGUCGUACGAGAAAGUUGGCUUCGGCCGAUGAGUAAAGUGGCGCACGGGUGAGUAACGCGUGGGUAAUCUGCCCCUCAGUUGGGAAUAACCCAUCGAAAGGUGGGCUAAUACCGAAUAAUGCUGUAUCGCCUCGGUGAUUCAGCCAAAGACGGCCUCUGCUUGCAAGCUGUCGCUGAGAGAUGAGCCCGCGUACCAUUAGCUUGUUGGUGGGGUAAUGGCCUACCAAGGCGGCGAUGGUUAGCUGAUCUGAGAGGAUGAUCAGCCACACUGGAACUGAGACACGGUCCAGACUCCUACGGGAGGCAGCAGUGAGGAAUAUUGCGCAAUGGGGGCAACCCUGACGCAGCAACGCCGCGUGAGUGAGGAAGGUUUUCGGACCGUAAAGCUCUGUCGAGCGGGAAGAAAUGUAUGGUGGCUAAUAUCCAUCAUGCUUGACGGUACCG